rnacentral:tRNA from 1 species
GGAAGGUUGGCCGAAUGGUAAGGCCCCGCGUUGGAAGCGCGAGAGCAUGGCGCAACACGUCGUGAUGCGGGUUCGAGUCCCGUGCCUUCCUCCA